rfam:Kocuria flava strain HO-9041, complete genome.
CCGGCGCCGGUUCACCGAGGCCUACCAGCGCCCGAUCGAGCGCGGCGAGGACCCGGCGGCC